GAACGCUAGCUACAGGCUUAACACAUGCAAGUCGAGGGGCAUCAGGAAGAAAGCUUGCUUUCUUUGCUGGCGACCGGCGCACGGGUGAGUAACACGUAUCCAACCUGCCCUUUACUCGGGGAUAGCCUUUCGAAAGAAAGAUUAAUACCCGAUAGCAUAAUGAUUCCGCAUGGUUUCAUUAUUAAAGGAUUCCGGUAAAGGAUGGGGAUGCGUUCCAUUAGGUUGUUGGUGAGGUAACGGCCCACCAAGCCUUCGAUGGAUAGGGGUUCUGAGAGGAAGGUCCCCCACAUUGGAACUGAGACACGGUCCAAACUCCUACGGGAGGCAGCAGUGAGGAAUAUUGGUCAAUGGGCGCUAGCCUGAACCAGCCAAGUAGCGUGAAGGAUGAAGGCUCUAUGGGUCGUAAACUUCUUUUAUAUAAGAAUAAAGUGCAGUAUGUAUACUGUUUUGUAUGUAUUAUAUGAAUAAGGAUCGGCUAACUCCGUGCCAGCAGCCGCGGUAAUACGGAGGAUCCGAGCGUUAUCCGGAUUUAUUGGGUUUAAAGGGAGCGUAGGUGGACUGGUAAGUCAGUUGUGAAAGUUUGCGGCUCAACCGUAAAAUUGCAGUUGAUACUGUCAGUCUUGAGUACAGUAGAGGUGGGCGGAAUUCGUGGUGUAGCGGUGAAAUGCUUAGAUAUCACGAAGAACUCCGAUUGCGAAGGCAGCUCACUGGACUGCAACUGACACUGAUGCUCGAAAGUGUGGGUAUCAAACAGGAUUAGAUACCCUGGUAGUCCACACAGUAAACGAUGAAUACUCGCUGUUUGCGAUAUACAGUAAGCGGCCAAGCGAAAGCAUUAAGUAUUCCACCUGGGGAGUACGCCAGCAACGGUGAAACUCAAAGGAAUUGACGGGGGCCCGCACAAGCGGAGGAACAUGUGGUUUAAUUCGAUGAUACGCGAGGAACCUUACCCGGGCUUAAAUUGCAGUGGAAUGAUGUGGAAACAUGUCAGUGAGCAAUCACCGCUGUGAAGGUGCUGCAUGGUUGUCGUCAGCUCGUGCCGUGAGGUGUCGGCUUAAGUGCCAUAACGAGCGCAACCCUUAUCUUUAGUUACUAACAGGUUAUGCUGAGGACUCUAGAGAGACUGCCGUCGUAAGAUGUGAGGAAGGUGGGGAUGACGUCAAAUCAGCACGGCCCUUACGUCCGGGGCUACACACGUGUUACAAUGGGGGGGUACAGAAGGCAGCUAGCGGGUGACCGUAUGCUAAUCCCAAAAUCCUCUCUCAGUUCGGAUCGAAGUCUGCAACCCGACUUCGUGAAGCUGGAUUCGCUAGUAAUCGCGCAUCAGCCACGGCGCGGUGAAUACGUUCCCGGGCCUUGUACACACCGCCCGUCAAGCCAUGGGAGCCGGGGGUACCUGAAGUACGUAACCGCAAGGAUCGUCCUAGGGUAAAACUGGUGACUGGGGCUA
rnacentral:rRNA from 1 species